GUGAGCCGGACUUCGGUCCGGUGGAAACUGGCGCACGGGUGAGUAACGCGUGGGGAUAUGCCCAAGGGUACGGAAUAACCGCUGGAAACGGCGGCUAAUACCGUAUGUUCCCUCAGGGGGAAAGCUUCGGCGCCCUUGGAUUAUCCCGCGUCCGAUUAGCUUGUUGGUGAGGUAACGGCUCACCAAGGCUCCGAUCGGUAGCUGGUCUGAGAGGACGAUCAGCCACACUGGGACUGAGACACGGCCCAGACUCCUACGGGAGGCAGCAGUGGGGAAUAUUGGACAAUGGGGGCAACCCUGAUCCAGCCAUGCCGCGUGAGUGAUGAAGGCCUUAGGGUCGUAAAGCUCUUUCGCCAGGGAUGAUAAUGACAGUACCUGGUAAAGAAACCCCGGCUAACUCCGUGCCAGCAGCCGCGGUAAUACGGAGGGGGUUAGCGUUGUUCGGAAUUACUGGGCGUAAAGCGUACGUAGGCGGAUCAGAAAGUUAGGGGUGAAAUCCCGGGGCUCAACCCCGGAACUGCCUCUAAAACUCCUGGUCUUGAGUUCGAGAGAGGUAAGUGGAAUUCCGAGUGUAGAGGUGAAAUUCGUAGAUAUUCGGAGGAACACCAGUGGCGAAGGCGGCUUACUGGCUCGAUACUGACGCUGAGGUACGAAAGUGUGGGGAGCAAACAGGAUUAGAUACCCUGGUAGUCCACACCGUAAACGAUGAAUGCCAGUCGUCGGGUAGCAUGCUAUUCGGUGACACACCUAACGGAUUAAGCAUUCCGCCUGGGGAGUACGGUCGCAAGAUUAAAACUCAAA
rnacentral:rRNA from 1 species